rnacentral:lncRNA from 1 species
GGACGUGCUGCUACUCCCCUCAUUCCCAACAUGUAUCAAGUACCUGCAUUGAGUAAUGCAAGAGUGAGAUGACACAUCUCAGCAAGUAAAAUAAUAUCAAACAGUUUAACCACAUAAGAACAUUGUUUUACCACCACUUAAUUCCACAACCUUCUUAUUACGAAGGUGCAGCACGUAUACAACGUACAACGCACCUAGUUACCACACCUCGCAGGUAGAAACCACAAUAGUAACAUAGUAAUGUCACACUUCAUAUAUUCCUCAUAAGUGCAAAUGUCUGCAAAUGCAAGGAUGACUUCUGCCUUCAUACCUCUAAGGAUAUGAAGCCGCAUCGUACCCCUCCUCGGGCAACGUAUGAUGCUAAAAAUGUACCGGUACGGUCAGACCAUAAGAUCACGACAUAACUUCAAAAUGCAAGAUGGAUGAUGCGAUGUGCAUGUCAUGCCUACAACACUUCAUAUAACAUGAUUCAAAAAGACACUUCAACUUCAUCCAGAUGGGAAUCAACCACAUAUAUCAUUACCAAAUUAUGAUCAUCCACAAUAUUAGACAAUUGAGAAUUAAUACUUCCAAACAAAUAAACUUCAUCAUAGAAUUCAAUGAUUAACAUAAUUAAAACUUAUGCAUACUCAAUGACAGGGAAUAGGAUGCAAACCAAACGGUAGCAACCACCACUGUAUUUACUUGCCUUUACCGGAAGUUCGGGCAAAUCCCAAGUACGAUCCGGAAGCCCACCACCUAUUUUUGACACCCAACUUAGUACACCAAUUUCACAUAAUCAGGCUCAUAAGCGACGCCGCACCUACGCACAAACUUAAACCCCGCCGCGGGUUACAUCUCUCCCUACACCCACCAAACUGCAGCGGCGCUGCUUAAUAAUUUCAUAACUUUAAAAUUAUGACAGCAGUGGUAACAAACAAAAACUCCAGAGGCAUCUACAUAAAAUUCCCCACAAGUUUUGUAUACAAUUUAUAAUUAAAUUCCAAUAUCUAAUUAGCCCAAAACAGUCCACAAGAUGAACCCUGUAAUCUGUUUUUCUUUGUCUUUUGAACAGCGACAUACCCAGAUUCAAACAGCGAUAUCUUUUAAAAUAUAAUUCCAAAUCAAGCGCAUAAGUACUCAUUGGAAAGAUAAGAUAAAUCCCUACAUGAUUACCAUACUGGUUAACACUAAUUACCCACGAAAAAUUCCCAGAAACUGCUAAUACCACUGCUGUUCACCCACCUGAAAAAUCUGUUUUUUUGGACAGCAACAUAACCGGAUUCAAACAACGAUAUCUCCUGAAUUAUAACUCCGAAUCGAGCGCAUAAGUACUUGUUGAAAAGAUAACAUAAAGCCCUACAUGAUUCUCAUACUGAUUAACACUAAUUACUCCCGAAAAAUCCCCAGAAACUGCUAAUACUGCUGCUGUUCAUCCCCCUGAAAAAUCUGUUUUUUUGGACAGCCACAUACCCGGAUUCAAACGGUGAUAACUUUCAAUUUAUAACUCCAAAUUGAGCGCAUAAAUACUCGUUGGAAAGGUAAGGUAAAGUUCUACAUGAUCCUUAUACUGAUUUCCCUUAAUUCCUCACGAAAAAAAACACAGAAACUGCUAGACUACUGUUGUUCACCCACCACCUAAAAUUCUGGACAGCCCCCCUCUACCCCAAUUGCAAACGCAACCUCUAAUCAAUUAAAUUGCAGCACAAAUGAACAAGGGAUGAACACAAAAAUCACCUUGGAUUCUCCCCCUUUCCUUCCUCCCUUCUUCCCUCCACCAAAACGAUUGAAGACUCGCACCACGACGACGAUGAUCCGAGUGGCAAGGAUUGGCACCUUGGGAGGAGGGGAUUGAGAGGGGGGGCGGCUAGGGUUUGGUGGCUGCAAGAAUUGAGAGAGGAG